UGGGGAAUAUUGGACAAUGGGGGGAACCCUGAUCCAGCCAUGCCGCGUGUGUGAAGAAGGCCUUAUGGUUGUAAAGCACUUUAAGCGAGGAGGAGGGUACUGGUAUUAAUACUACCAGCUACUGGACGUUACUCGCAGAAUAAGCACCGGCUAACUCUGUGCCAGCAGCCGCGGUAAUACAGAGGGUGCGAGCGUUAAUCGGAUUUACUGGGCGUAAAGCGUGCGUAGGCGGCUAAUUGAGUCGGAUGUGAAAUCCCCGAGCUUAACUUGGGAAUUGCAUUCGAUACUGGUUAGCUGGAGUGUGGGAGAGGAUGGUAGAAUUCCAGGUGUAGCGGUGAAAUGCGUAGAGAUCUGGAGGAAUACCGAUGGCGAAGGCAGCCAUCUGGCCUAACACUGACGCUGAGGUACGAAAGCAUGGGGAGCAAACAGG
rnacentral:rRNA from 1 species